rnacentral:rRNA from 1 species
CGGGGAAUAUUGCGCAAUGGGCGAAAGCCUGACGCAGCAACGCCGCGUGAGUGAUGAAGGCCUUCGGGUUGUAAAGCUCUUUCGGCUGGGAAGAAGGGUGUAUAGUCUAAUAUACUCUACAUCUGAUGGUACCAGAAGAAGAAGCACCGGCAAACUUCGUGCCAGCAGCCGCGGUAAUACGAAGGGUGCAAGCGUUGUUCGGAUUUAUUGGGCGUAAAGGGUUCGUAGGCGGGAUAAUAAGUCAAGUGUGAAAUCCCCGAGCUUAACUCGGGACGUGCAUUUGAAACUAUUAUUCUUGAGUCAUAGAGAGGGUGGUGGAAUUGUUGGUGUAGGAGUGACAUCCGUAGAGAUCAACAGGAACAUCAGAGGCGAAAGCGGCCUCCUGGCUAUGUACUGACGCUGAGGAACGAAAGCGUGGGGAGCAAACAGGAUUAGAUACCCGGGUAGUCC